GCCAGCAGCUAACACUCUGCAUCUCUCAUCUGGUUGCCCACUGUUGAGCUGGUCAGUACCUGGAUGGGAGACCUCCUGGGAAAACUAGGUUGCUGUUGGAA
rnacentral:rRNA from 1 species